GGCUGGAACUCUGCAAUCCUCCUGCCUCAGCCUCCCAGUGCUGGGGCUCCAGGCAUGUGCCACCACACCCAGCUUGGUCCAAGGUUUAAGGUCAACCAGUUUAGGGACCAGAUCAUACCUGGUACUGGCACACCAUAGACAUUCACUUCCUGCAGGAAGUCCACAAGUGACAGCACGCCCUCCACCUCCCGUGUGGACACGCUCGCCUUCCAUCUGCAGGGUUGGAGUCAGGGCUCGAACCCCACCCUCACAAGAGGGUCCAGAUGCCCAUCACCUGCACCAGCCCAGCCUGUCCCCAUCCCUAACUCCACCACACCGAAGGUGUCCCCCGAGGCGGUCCUGGAAGUAGACAAAGCCUUCACGGUCCAUGGUCAGCACAUCCCCCGCGUGUUGUAGUAAAUGUCGCCUGACGCAGCACACCCUUCACCAGUUUCCGCUCAGACAGCUCUCUCGGGACCACGGUAGCCGAUGAAAGGAGAGUGACUGAGUACCUUGGUCAGCAGGAGCCCCGCCUCCCCCUGGAGAAGGAAGAGGAGCGCAGUGCAAAUGACAAACCAGAACCCUAGCAGCCAGCUACCCAGUGGUCAGUGGGCCAGUGCACCCUGAAGACAGCUGAAACACUGGGACAGAGAGAGCCUGAGAGACGGGCAGGGGGACACAGAGAAUCAGAGCAGGAAGGAAGGAGGUGGCAUUAGGUAGCACACGAGCAAGGGGAAAACAAUACCAAGGAAUGGACAAGGGAUAGAGACAAUGGUGCCAGGAAGAAAGGGCUGCCAGGGCUCUCCAAGGCUCCAGGAGAGAAGGGACUAAUGGCUAGGAAGAUGUGACCCCCACAGAAGCCAGGGAGAACUCAGAUGGACCAGAGCAAGAGAAUGAGGCAGGGAGUUGGCAGGGUGAGGCUGAGGGGCGGAGGCCCAGGUGGCAGUGAGCAGCACAGGGACUCAGAGUCCUGACGGGGACUUCCACCCCCAUGGGCUCUGGCUCCAGGCUUUCGGCAGUUUGUUCCAGCCAUGCAGGGGGGCCGAGGGUAUCCACCCCUCCUCCACCCAGAGAACGCUCCUCGGUCUCCAUACCCGGCCCCACAGGGAUGCACAAGCCCCGCUUGUCUCUCACGGGCUCUGCUGCCUCCAUGUCAAACUGCACAAGCUCAAGAGGAGACAGCACCUGGUGAAGGGCGGGGAGCACUAGCAGAGGACCUGUGGGCCCAGCCGCAGCCAGGGCCACCUGUCACCCUGGGCACCCCACCUACUCACCUGAAGGAGGCAGUUCGCCUUGCCCACGGCCCCACAGCGCCCUGCAUAGCUGACUAAGCCUACGCUGCCCUCUGUGGAGCCAUAGAAUUCCCAGAUCUGAAUGGGACCAAAGCGCUUCUGGAAGGUUUCCCACACAUCUCCCCGGAGUCCAUUGCCCAUUGCCAAGCGGACUCUGUGCAUCCGGUCUUCUGGUCGCUGCAAGAACAUCCCCAGAAGGAGAGGAGAAGGUGUCCUUGGGGAUGCUGAGGAACCCUCACCUGGGGGCUGUCUUGGGUCCUUACCUUGAGAGUGACCCCAGGAUGAUGGGGCUCUGUACCUAGGGGAUCUACCUGGGGUACUGAGGUACAGUUACUGGAGUCUUGGCCUGAGGGUUACCUGCAGAGGUUACCUAAGAGCUUUGCCUGGGGAAAGUUACCUGGGCCCUUACCUGAAGGAUUACCUAGGAGACGUGAUGCAUCAGGGAUCUUACCUGGAAAAGGUACCUGGGGUCUCACAUGGCAGAGUUACCUGGAAGCCUUACCUUAAAAAGCUACUGGGAGCCUUUACCUGAGGGCACAUGGGGAGUGACUUGAAGCCUCAGUUUAAGAAUUACUUUAGUGUCUUACUUAGGGCAAGUUACAUGGAGCCUUUUACCUGAGGUGUUACCUGGAGCCUUUGCCUGGAGGGAUACCUGGGGGACUUAUCUGGGAUCGUAUCUCAUUGGUCUGUAAGGAUGAGAUGGCUCACAACUUCUGAGUUCACCCUGAGCCACUCCCAGUUCUAGGCACUUUACAUAUAUUUAGUUCACUUAAUUUUCACCGAAAUGGGGGCCUUUAUUUGUACUGGGGUUUAAACCUAGGGCCUUCACACUGAGCUACAUCCCCAGGUCUUCUAUAUUUUAAGACAAAUUUUCACCAAGUUGCUAAUUUUCCCUGGACAGGCCCAGACCUGCAAUCCACCUACCUCAGUGUGCACUUCCAAGCCAGGCCAGAUAGGAUCUGCCCCUAUUGAAUGAACACACUGAGGCUGAGGAAAGUGGAGGCAUCUGCUGAGGAUGGAAGACCCCCUCAUCAAAGCAGCCCUUUAGGAGAACUUGCCUCGAACUUGUUUUCUGGGCUCUUGCCUGAUAAGCACAACCCAGUACCUGAGUCUUUAUCUGAGAGCUUUACCUGGGGUGUCAUUUGGGGUUUCAUGCCUGCUGUGUUUACCAUGGAUCCUGAAUCUCAGAGCCUCACCUGAGGAACAUUGCACAAGUACCGCAGGACCUCACCCACAUAUUGGAUCACUGUCACACCAUGCUGACGACAGUCAUCCCAGAAGCAGGAGGCAGAAAACUUGGGUGCCAGGACACAGGUAGCUCCUAGAAGGGAGAGGAUGAGUAGAUCUCAAGCCAUGCUUCCAAGUUGCUGUGAGAAGCUGCUUUGAUGACCUGAUUGCAGUCUCUGGGAAUGUAGGACAAGGCCAAGCUCAUCUCUAUGCCCCAGCCAGACUGGCCCCAUGAAAAGAGUCCACGGGGCCAGCCCUGUGGCACAUGCCUGUAGUUCCAGCACUUGGGAGACUGAGGCAGGAGGACUGCCAUGUGUUUGCGGUCAACCUGGGCUACAUAGCAAGUUCUAGGCUAGCAUGAACUGCCUAGUGAGACCCUGUCUCAAAAAAACUCAAAACAAAAACAAAAAAGAAAGAAGAGGAUGCCUGGGUUCAAAUACUUUUUCUAGAGGGUAUAGAAAUCCCAGUGCUGGCACAGGUGAGCAUGCUAGAUGCGAGGUGUGCAUUUGUUGCUCUGAAUUUGCUGAGUGCCCUGAAGGCAGACAGGUGGGUAGGAGGAUGGACGUGGUGGGUGGGUGGGAAGAUGCGUUGGCGGAUGGAUGAAUCGGGUGAUGGCAUGGGAUGCAGGGGAGAGAUAGCCAGUGAUGAGGUAGACAGGAGCCAGCCCUAGGAGAGCCUGGUGGAAGGACGAAGGGGAGUACAGAGUUGACGGAUGGACUCGUGGACAAGACCCCAGGGCCACGAUCAUCACCCCUGAGCAGCGGCUCUCCUCUGCAUCUGGCCAUCACCCUUGCACCCAAACUGCAACUGCUCAUGUGCUUCUGUAAGGUGACAAGUGUGUGUCUUAAAAUGGUAUUUCUGGAAAGGAGGCAGCAUAAUGCCCUCCACGAAAAUGAGCUGGGGUUGUCUUUGUUACCUUCUGGCCACCAUGCACUGUUUCUCCUCUGCCAGACCUGUCUGCCACACCACCCUGCCUUGGAGCCAGGCCGUUAUGGACUGAAACCUCUAUGAGCUACUGACUGAUGACAAGCCUGCCAUCUGAACAUCUAACAGAACAACAUUCAAGACAGGGGAAAACAGCCUACCACGAACAAGACAGUGAAUUAAUGACCAAGUUAAUAACUGAGACACCUGACCAGCCAAGCCCAUUUCUCAUUGGCCAUCUUCCGUGUAAACAAGGAAACCAUGGACAACUACAAAGAACUUUGUCUGGAUCUGCAGCUCUCUGGGCAGAAAGUGAAACAUCAGAAACUAAAGGAACAAGGAGAGAUUUUAGAAGCUAUGAUAAACCUUGGCAAUUAAAUGCAAAGAAGCCUAAAAAAAUCAAAAAGUGACCUUGCUGUGUCUAAUAUUUCUCCCCCAUCACUGGAUUCCAGAUCAUCAUUAGCAUCUUACUUAUCCUCUCAAACAUGUCUAACUGAUUUGGAUCAUUUCUAGCAUACUGUUCUUUGAAGACUAUGAACUACUUGGAGUGGCCCUUGCCUCUUGUGCCAAUUGCAGCAUUAUGCUACAUUCAAGACAAAACCAAACCCACAUUUACUGAAAUACAUAAAAGCAAAUUAAAUAUUUUAGAGCAGAAGAAGAGGGGAUUUCUGUUCCAAACAUUUAAUAAAAAAGAGGAGACGGAGGAUGGGAGGAGGGAGGAGAGUGGAAGGGGCAUAAAAAGCGUUAAGAUGUGUAAUGUGUAUGUACCAAGUCCCCAUGAUGAAUAUAAUCAUUAUAUAUUAUAAACAUGUACUAAUACAAAUAAAAAUGAAUUUAAAAAAGAAAAAUUAGCUGGGUGUAGUGGCACAUGCCUGUAGUCCCAGCUCUCAAGAGGCUGAAGCAGGAGGAUCACUGUAAGUUUGAGCCCAGCCUGGGCUACAUAGCGAGUUUGAGACCAGCCUGAACUACCUAGUAAGACCCUGUGUCAACCCCUCCCCCCCCAAAAAACCAAGGGCCAGGCAUGGCAGUGGAUGCUUGUAACCCCAGCACUUGGGGAGGCAGAGGCAGGAGGAUUGCCAAGAGUUCGGGCCAGUCUGGGUUCCAAAGUGAGACCCUGCCUCAAAAAAAUUUUUUUAAUGUGUUUUUUUUUCUGGUACUGGGGAUCGAACUCAGAACCUUACACUUGCCAGGCAGGCAUGGCGCCACUCAGCUACAUGCCUGCCCGCCCCCAAAAUUAAAAGGGCUGGGGAUGUGGCUCAGUGCAAAGAUCCUGGGUUCAAUGCUCAGUAAAAUGGGGACAAAAAAGGAACAAAUGAGCAGGCAUGGUAGCACACAGGUGUAAUUCUAGCACUGAGGGAAGCUGAAGCUCGAGGGUCACAAGUUUGAAUUCCACCUGGGUAACUUAGGAGGCCCUCUCUCAACAUUAAAAAUAUGAAGGGCUGGGGAUGUGGUCCCCUGGUAGUGGUCUCUGAAUUCAAAUCCUGCUACUGAAAAUACUUGCACACACACACACACACACACACACACACACACAAUUUUUUAGGAAGAAAAAACCAUAACAGGGCAGCCCUUGUCUGAGUUAUGAGUCAGGUGUCCAGAAGGACAGCCCGGUCAGCACUUGGUGACCAUUCCCUGACUGGCUUCUGGGGCCAGGUCACAAAGCAGGACCAUCAUGCCCAUCCCCUCUGGAGCACGACAGCCUCCCUGAUGCACACCGAUCUUCACACCAGGUCUUGUUACCGCCAGCCAAGGAACAGCCAUUAGAGAUUGUUUUAGGUAUUCAAGCCUUGGGCUGGGGGGAUGUUACUGUUACUGUUACUGUUACUGUUACUUCUCAAGAGUAACAGUACAGAAAGCUGGGAAACCUGUGGAGUCUUUGUCACCCCUGACUGGCCCCAACACCCCUUCUCGGACCCUGUGAGCUAAAGGGAUCCUCUGAAAAGGACUCACCAAGCUCCAGGCAGCCGAGGACCCCCAGGACAAGCCCCAUCACGUGAUAGAGAGGCAGGACGCUGUAGACCACAUCACCAGCCGUUGCCCCACACAAGGACAGCAUCUUGCUCACCUGCAGCACCCGUUCAUGUGUGAGGAUGGCUGGCUUUGGCAGCCCUGGGAGGAAGCAGUGGGGAAGGGGUCUCAAAGGGCAGCAGCCAGACCUUGUUGGGCUUGGCUCUCAGGACACUGGGUUUUGAGGCUGAAUUCCAACUGGGCGUGAGAGAUCAAGAGCAAAGGUUAGCAAGAGUGUCAGUGCUGUUUACCGGGCAUGGGAGCACCCACUCGACACUGGGGAUGGGAGUCAAGGCCAGAUGUGGAGGGUGGAGGGCAGGGCGAUGUCAGAGACCAGCAGAGGCUAGGCUGAGGCUGGGGGCCCCUCACCUGUGGUCCCCGAGGUGUAAAUGAACAGGGCAGGACUUCGACGCUUAAUCUCCCGCGUAGGUGAGCAGGCACUGGGUCAGAGGGCGCCAUGUCCAGGGCGGCCCCAGAGACCCCACACCAGGUGUGGCAGAGGUGUGGCUGAGGUAGAAGCAGUGGAUGUCCGCAGCCUGCAGCUUGGGAAGGACCUCCUCCAGGCUGUCCUGGAGGUCUGGAAGGUCAGGGGAGAGACUGAGGCAGAGCUCACCUUUGUGGUCAACAGGGGAGACCCAACACCCAGAGACACAGGAACAGCUAGCAGAAAAAAAGUUUCAUCAUUCUUGGGUAAAGGAUCCUCAUAAGUGGGCCAGGGAUUUAGCUCAGUGGCAACGUGCCUGCCUUGGAAGCUUAAAGGUCCAGAGUUUGAUCCCUGGUACCAGAGAAAGAAAAAAAGAAUCCCAUAAUUACUAAAGUUUUUGUCAAAAAGAAUUAAAAUCACUAUUUUGUGAAAAAAAUUAAAAAACAACGAUCCCCCCCGCCAUGGCUUCCCAGUUACACUGGUUUUUUUUUGUUUUUUGGGUUUUUUUGGUACCGGGAUCGAACUCGGGACCUUGUGCUUGUGAGGCAGGUGCCAGAACCACUGAGCUAAAUCCCCGGCCCCACACUGUUUCGAUUGUAACUGCCUGAGACUGAGACGCGGAGGAAAGGACCCCCCUGCCCAGCCCCAUCAGCAUUACCCCCUGCCCUCUUCCCUCCCCUGUAGCCCUGGGGUCCUCACCUGGGUCCACCACCAGCACCCGGGCCCCCUGAGCUCAGCACAGAGUGUGCCAGGGAGCCCCACGGCUGUGUGGGUUGAUCCAGGCCACUGGGCAGCCCAGCUUGGCCAUUCCUAGGCACAGACUCAGAGCAGAAAUGGCCUUCGAGGUUCCCACCAGGAGACUGACAGUCUCCCCAGCACACAAGGUCUUCCAGCUACCGACUUCAGCCUUCAGGGCCCAUGCUGCCUGGCAGGCCCAGUCCACACCAAGCACACCUGGCCAGGCUGUGCUCGAGCCCUCCGCUCAAAGGCAUCCACAAAAGUGUCUGGAGGCUGGCGGCUCAGGCGUCCCCUGAUGCUCAGGCCCAAGUGGAAGAACUUGGCUAAGAAAGUCACAUCUGUAGGAAGCCAGCGAGUCCUGGGGGUGGUCGUGUGGGAAGCAGAGUCAGAGUGAGGGCCCCAGUCAGCAGGCCCAGGGAGUGAAGCCCCCAGAGGCGGACCCAGGGCUUGGCCAGUGCCACCAGUCCCAGCAGCAGGAAGCACAGGGGGUCUCCAAGGAACCAGCGCAGGGCCACUGCCACAGCAGCUGGCCACACGGGCUGCCCCAGGGACCCCAUCAGGGCAGCAGCAACAGCAGCACGGCCAGCCGCUGCCAGACGCCCAUAGUGCUGUCUCCUCCGAGAGAAGAGGCCGUGAAAUGCGCCGUCUCACCUCUGACCCUGGGCUCCCCCGCCCAAUGGCCUGCCCCACAGAAUGGCUGGUGCACUCUACCCACCAAGGGCCCUGGCACUGACAUCAGCAGUUGCUCCUGACCUCUGGACUCUGCCCUCAGCCC
ensembl:lncRNA